rnacentral:misc_RNA from 1 species
UAAGGGAGCAGGCAAAGCUGAUGUUGGCUUCCUACAAAACUGAGCAGGGUUAGGCUUUGGGAAGGAGAACGGUUCAUUUGGAGUCGUUGUGCCAAGGCGUGUUCAGCUGGCAAUGAGGAACAACGAGGAGCCCAAACUUCUUGGUUCUGUUACCAUUGCUGAUGGUGUUGUGUUGCCUGACAGCCACAUGUCACUGCCUAAGAGAACUGGUUCUGGCCCGAAGGUCCUGCUGAUGUUGACCGCCACAGAUUUUCAUGUAACCUUUCCGCCCUUUAAUGUGAAUGAGAUCC